ensembl:lncRNA MIR663AHG MIR663A host gene
CACGUCCGGUGCUCCCCUCUGGCGGGUGCGCACGGGCCCUGUGAGCGAUCGCGGUGGGCUUGGGCUGGUGACGCGUGCGCCGGCCGGCCGCCGAGGGGCUACCGUUCUGCCUCCGACCGGUCGUGUGUGGGUUUACUCGGAGAAAUACUAGGCUUUAGAAUUUCACCAUAUGAAUUUUGGGAGAGAGGAGCACAGUUCAGCCCAUAACUAACACACGACGGAAUGAAGUUGAUAAUAGUGAGACCUUGUUGGUACAAGACUAUGUAACAUAACCUGCGCUUCUCAACAAAGAAUUGCUUUUCUGACUUCUGCACUCAAUAGCAAGACAAAUCUCUCCUCUGCCUUCUCCUUAUCAGACUACUCAACAUGAAGGCAAUAAGAAUGAAGACCUCUAUGUAUAAUAAUUGACUUCCACUUAAUAAAUAUCCCCACUUUUGUUCCUAGAGCAACACGCUGUCCUGGAUAGCUAACGUGUUUAUGAAUGCAAGGAAAUUUUCAAAAAGGGAGUUUGAAAUUUAACUCCACAAACUACUAUCUGGAUUGGAAUGCUACAUUAAAUGUAUUAUAAUUUUGUAUGGACAUAUAAGGAUGGGGAAUGAAAAGCAUCCAAGGCCAUAUGUUGAUAAUCUUUUGAUAUGUUAAGAAAUAAUCUAGUGUUAUUUUCUAUUUCUUCUCAAAUGUUUUUAGAGGUUACUUGGUACACUGGUCGACAAAACCUUGAAAUGUUGAUGUUUAAGGGCUGUUGAUUGCUGGCAGCAAAGAAGUCCAACUGUGCUGGUACCCGAGAUAGCGUCUCCACAUUUUCUUCCAGGAUCAUCACCUUUGUUCUAAAUAGCUCCCACAUAGUGUGAACAGAAGUCAUAUGUUUUAGAUUUUCUGCCUUGGCACCCAGGAAACCAGUAUGAUUGAGUAAACAUAUUAAACUUCCUCUGCAUUUCCAGCCUGAACAGAUGUUGAGUACAAGCUGAUCCACCUACGUUCAACCUGAGAGAGUCCACAUCCACAGACUGUUUCAUUUCCCUUUUUCAAUUUACAUAGAAGCAUAGAUUCUUGCUGGCAUAUACAAAUGCGCCAUUUAAGGCAAUCAAAAAUGGUUCCACAUCUCAUCUGAUUUCCACAAUUGUUGCUGUAACGAUGGACUACUGAGGAGAGAGACAAUUUCUCUGGCACAUCUUCCCACAUUUUAGCAACAUGUUCAUGGAGAGCCAAUAUUCAGUAAUUACAGCCCAAUUCCUCACAAUUUCACAAUUCGCUAACAAUAUGCAUUUUCACAAUGUAAAGCUGAUUUUCCUUUAACCAAAUCAAACAUGAAAAGAUAGCUGCAUGCAAUGGGCAAUCUAGAUCAUUAGAAGAUUGAUGUAAAAUUAGAGGACACUGAGACUGGAAUAGAUUGCAAACUUCAGGGAGCUCAGAAAACUUGUAAACUCUACAUUUUGAGGAAAUAUGUUGUCGAUGCUUUUGCAACUCUAUGCAGUAACUUAACAAAUAAAGCCUUAAAGUAACU